rnacentral:lncRNA from 1 species
GGCUGGGGCCAGAUGACAGCUAGUGAGGGAGCAGAGACAAGACAAGGCGAGCCUGUGACAGAGCGAGACCCUGUCUCAAAAAACAAAAACAAGACAUGUGAGCUUGGACUCCAGUGUGGAAUCCCAUGUCCGCUCAGUGCACCUUUCUGCCGCUGAAAGUACAAGAGGAGAGGGGAAACCCACAGGUGGAGCUGACCAUGAGGACUGUCACAGGGAACUCUUUGAAUAAGAGGACACCAGAUCAUGCCUGCAGUUCCAGCCCAGGAGCAACUAGCACCAGCCUCAGCAUGGAGCAGGACUUCAGUUCCAGCAGCGAGGACUGAGAUCAGACACAAGAGAAAGCUCCCUGAUGAGGAGGGGUGAUUCUAAAACGAAGGGCGGAAAUUAUCUGGGGAAUUUCCUUCCCGUGAAGCCUCAGGAACAUGCCAGUCCCCCACUUCGGUCUGUCCUGGGGGGUCUCACGCCCCUGUCCUCCUAGAGAAAUCUAGAUCCUCCAAACUCUGCCUGGGUUCUUCCUGGGGAGUCUUGACCCCUGCCUUGUGGUUGAUGUGGGAUAGGGGACCCGGGAACAGGGCUGCCUUCCUCUGGCCAAGGCCUGGCAAGCAAGUGUGGGAUGGGUGCUGUCUUCCUGAGAGGGACAAUAGAAGUGACAGAGCCCCCUAAUUCAAGACCCUGCAGAGGUGGUGUGAGAUCUUAUAAUAUCAGUCUCUAAGCCAGUGCCUCUCAAGCUCUCUUUGGUGAAGAAUCAAUUUUUAAAAUAUAUAAUCAGUCACAGAUCAAUGCUUUUGUAAAAUGCAAUAAAAGUUAAUUUCCAAAAAAAUCACAUACUUGGGUACCAUGGUAAUGUCAAUGUAAAAUUGCUGUAAAAUUGUUCUAAGUGCUUACUCUCAAUGUCUGUGCUCAGCUUAUCAGCAACCAGUAACAGUUUGUACCACUGGUUUGUACCACGACAACCAUGCUACACUUGGAGCUGACACUUUCAUAAAGGUUAAUUUCCCUCUUUUCCUUCCUGAAGUUUGACCUCUUCCUUGAUUAGAUAGGAGGAGGGAUUCCGACAGCCCCUCACCAUCUGUUUAGAACCUCUCCCCCCAUUGCAGGUCCUUCCUGGUCAUCUAACACCAUAUGCCAUAUGGAACAGUCCUGAUUAUACAUAUUCUGUCUCAUGGGCAAUGUGUUCUGAUUUGGGUCUUUUUUUUUUUUUUUUUUUUUUUUGAGACAGAUACUCUGUCACUCAGGUUGGAGUGCAAUGGCAUGAUCAUAGCUCACACUGCAGCCUCCAACUCCUGGGCUCAAGCGAUCCUCCUGCCUCAACCUCCCUUGUAGCUAGGACUACAGGUGUGAGUCAUCACCAUAGCUGAUUUUUUUUUACUUUUGUUAUUUGUAGAGAUGAGGACUCACUGUGUUGCCCAGGCUGGUCUUGAACUCCUGACCUCAAGCAAUCCUCCCACCUCAGCCUCCCGAAGUGCUGGGAUGAGCCACCCAUUCACACAGGCAUGAGGCACUGCACCUAGCUUGAUUUUUUUU